GCCUGAGAAACGGCUACCACAUCCAAGGAAGGCAGCAGGCGCGCAAAUUACCCACUCCCAGCUUGGGGAGGUAGUGACGAAAAAUAACGAGACGAUUCUCGUUUGAGAAACGUUAUCGAAAUGAGUACGCUUUACACACGCUAACGAGUAGCAAUUGGAGGGCAAGUCUGGUGCCAGCAGCCGCGGUAAUUCCAGCUCCAAUAGCGUAUAUUAAAGUUGCUGCGGUUAAAACGCUCGUAGUUGAAUUGUGGUCUUAGACAACAGUCCCCCUACAUAGGUGUGGCACGGUUGCUCGAGAUCUUCAUUCGUGGUUGCUGUUGUUGCUCUUCAUUGAGUGUCAAUGGUGCCU
rnacentral:ncRNA from 1 species